UCUUCGGAAAUGAAGAUUUUGUGACUGAGUGGCGGACGGGUGAGUAACGCGUGGGUAACCUGCCUCAUACAGGGGGAUAACAGUUGGAAACGACUGCUAAUACCGCAUAAGCGCACAGGAUCGCAUGAUCCGGUGUGAAAAACUCCGGUGGUAUGAGAUGGACCCGCGUCUGAUUAGCCAGUUGGCAGGGUAACGGCCUACCAAAGCGACGAUCAGUAGCCGACCUGAGAGGGUGACCGGCCACAUUGGGACUGAGACACGGCCCAAACUCCUACGGGAGGCAGCAGUGGGGAAUAUUGCACAAUGGGGGAAACCCUGAUGCAGCGACGCCGCGUGAGCGAAGAAGUAUUUCGGUAUGUAAAGCUCUAUCAGCAGGGAAGAAGAAUGACGGUACCUGACUAAGAAGCACCGGCUAAAUACGUGCCAGCAGCCGCGGUAAUACGUAUGGUGCAAGCGUUAUCCGGAUUUACUGGGUGUAAAGGGAGCGCAGGCGGUGCGGCAAGUCUGAUGUGAAAGCCCGGGGCUCAACCCCGGUACUGCAUUGGAAACUGUCGUACUAGAGUGUCGGAGGGGUAAGUGGAA
rnacentral:rRNA from 1 species